AGUGAACGCUGGCGGUAGGCCUAACACAUGCAAGUCGAACGGCAGCACAGUAAGAGCUUGCUCUUACGGGUGGCGAGUGGCGGACGGGUGAGGAAUACAUCGGAAUCUACAUUUUCGUGGGGGAUAACGUAGGGAAACUUACGCUAAUACCGCAUACGACCUACGGGUGAAAGCAGGGGAUCUUCGGACCUUGCGCGAUUGAGUGAGCCGAUGUCGGAUUAGCUAGUUGGCGGGGUAAAGGCCCACCAAGGCGACGAUCCGUAGCUGGUCUGAGAGGAUGGUCAGCCACACUGGAACUGAGACACGGUCCAGACUCCUACGGGAGGCAGCAGUGGGGAAUAUUGGACAAUGGGCGCAAGCCUGAUCCAGCCAUACCGCGUGGGUGAAGAAGGCCUUCGGGUUGUAAAGCCCUUUUGUUGGGAAAGAAAAGCAGCAGGUUAAUACCCCGCUGUUCUGACGGUACCCAAAGAAUAAGCACCGGCUAACUUCGUG
rnacentral:rRNA from 1 species